GGGUUUAUAGCUCAGUGGUAGAGCAGGGGAUUGCAGAUCCCAAGGUCCCGUGUUCAAAUCACGGUAGGCCCU
rnacentral:tRNA from 1 species